rnacentral:rRNA from 1 species
GCGACCUCAGUUCGGAUUGAAGGCUGAAAUUCGCCUUCAUGAAGUCGGAAUUGCUAGUAAUGGCAGGUCAGCAUACUGCCGUGAAUACGUUCCCGGGCCUUGUACACACCGCCCGUCACACCAUGAGAGUUGGAGAUACCCGAAGCCUAUGAGCUAACUUUUAGAGGCAGUAGUCGAAGGUAGAAUCAAUGAUUGGGGUGAAGUCGUAACAAGGUACC